GUGCUCACUUCGGCAGCAUGUAUAUUAGAAUUGGAGUGAUAAAGAGAAGAUUAGCAUGGCCCCUGCACAAGAAUGAUACGCAGGUUCGUGAAGCGUUCCAUAUUUUA